UGACGGCCAUAUGAUGCUGAAACUCCGAUUCCGGUACGAUCACCGAAGUUUAAGCAACGUCGAGCCUAGUCAGUACCGAGAUGGGUGAUUUCUUCGGAUCAGCAGGUGCUGUAAG